GACAGAGGGUGCAAACGUUGCUCGGAAUCACUGGGCGUAAAGGGUGCGUAGGCGGGUCUUUAAGUCAGGGGGGAAAUCCUGGAGCUCAACUCCAGAACUGCCUUUGAUACUGAAGAUCUUGAGUUCGGGAGAGGUGAGUGGAACUGCGAGUGUAGAGGUGAAAUUCGUAGAUAUUCGCAAGAACACCAGUGGCGAAGGCGGCUCACUGGCCCGAUACUGACGCUGAGGCACGAAAGCGUGGGGAGCAAACAGG
rnacentral:rRNA from 1 species